AAUCAGACAGUUUGGGAAAAGUCAACUGCGGGGCCAGAAAAGUCAACUCCUGACUUUUUGAGAGUGGAAUCUCAAAAUUCAUGCCUAGGGGAUCCUACAUGUGAAAUUUGAUCAAGGUUGGAUCAUGGAUUCAUCAUUUAAUCAGGAAUUGGAAAAGUUACUUAAUUUGGAAAUGGUUGACUUUCCAUUUAGGGCAAGUUUUCAUGAUUGUUGCACUCACUUUAAGCCCAUUUUCC
rnacentral:lncRNA from 1 species